GCUGGCGGCGUGCCUAAUACAUGCAAGUCGAGCGGAACUGAUUAGAAGCUUGCUUCUAUGACGUUAGCGGCGGACGGGUGAGUAACACGUGGGCAACCUGCCUGUAAGGCUGGGAUAACUUCGGGUAAACCGAAGCUAAUACCGGAUAGGAUCUUCUCCUUCAUGGGAGAUGAUUGAAAGAUGGUUUCGGCUAUCACUUACAGAUGGGCCCGCGGUGCAUUAGCUAGUUGGUGAGGUAACGGCUCACCAAGGCCACGAUGCAUAGCCGACCUGAGAGGGUGAUCGGCCACACUGGGACUGAGACACGGCCCAGACUCCGUACGGGAGGCAGCAGUAGGGAAUCUUCCGCAAUGGACGAAAGUCUGACGGAGCAACGCCGCGUGAGUGAUGAAGGCUUUCGGGUCGUAAAACUCUGUUGUUAGGGAAGAACAAGUAUGAGAGUAACUGCUCGUACCUUGACGGUACCUAACCAGAAAGCCACGGCUAACUACGUG
rnacentral:rRNA from 1 species